GCCUCAUAUUUGUCCACAGUUUCGUAGAGAACGCGCUGGUAAAUAUAUUGAUCACUUAUCUCCCAGGUGUAUGGGGCUUAUCAAAAUCGGCUCAAGCUGUCAAUUUACAGGAAGGAACCUCAGCACGGAUGCCUAUCUGGGCCGCUUCAAAAUGGUGGUUUACUCCACCAUAUCUUACAUCAUUGUGAGUUUUUUAAUGAGAGAUUAACGUUAAACCCACCACUUUUUACUCUCGAGUGUCUUAUUCAGAGAUUUUCUAAAUCAAUCGACUUUUUGUAGGGAUUGGUGCUGUUCUGGAAUGCAGCCUGGCAUAGAAAAAUAGAUGUUCGAACUUUUUACAUAGGACUCGUGCUAAUAACUCUGGCAAAAGCAGCAAAAGAGGUAUCCUUGAACGGGUUUCUUGAUGAUCAAUUCAUGGCGAAGGAUAUCACAACCACAGAAGAGGAUGAAGAACGACAACAUAGCCGUAGCAAUGUCUGGUGGCGCUCUGCAUCCAUCUUGGGUGCUAUUGCAGCUAUUUCUGUCCCGAGUUCAUUGAAGCUGCUUUCUAUGAUCUCAGCAAUUGCAAUGAUGGUUGCAUACUUGUGGUUCUGGUUAGGUGCAAAAUUUUACGAAUGCAAUCGACCAACAGGCAGCGCCAUCUCUGAUGUUCUAUUUGUUAUCAAAACAGCAGUACUAAGAAGAAAUCUUCUCUAUGCAACUACUCCAGAGCAGCUCUUCCAAAAUUAUAAAGGUGUUACGCAUAUUGAGCCUCGCAUUUCAUGGUUGAGGUAUGUCCCUUCACUCGGUUUCUUACUUACAAUGAAGACUACAAGAUCAUUGAUCUUAUUCGCACUGCAUUUUGUUUGUUAAACGAAAGGUGGUUAGACAAAGCUCCCAUUGUGAUUGAAGAAGAAAAUAGGGCAAACAAGAAUUGCACAGUUGCACAAGUGAAGGAAGUGAAAUUUUUAUUAGCGAUGGUUCCUAUGUGGACAACUUUCCUUACAUACAGUCUGGUUGAUGCGACAGGGAGCACCUUUUUUCUCGAACAAGCUAGCAACAUAAAUGAAAAUUUUCCUUUUACUGUUUUCAAUAUAUUAGUAGUAGUCACAAGCUUUGCAAUUGAACAUCUAUGUGACUUCCUAUUUCGAAAGAUUGGUAAUGAAAUGAAUAGACAACUCUUAAGGCAGGGGAGAAUCGGUUUUGGAAUGGCAUUUUCUGUCAUUUGUUGCAUAUUUUCUUGGAAAAAUGCAGUUCACUGGCUGUAUUUGGUCAAGACAUAUGAUAUGCCAAGUUCAUACACGAAUAUUUUUAGCCUGACUCCACAAUUUAUCUUCUUGGGAAUUAUGAAAGGACUUUCAGAAAGUGGGCUUCGAAGUUUCUUUUGUUCCCAGGUUUCUGAAUCUCUAAAGAACUACGGACCACCGUUUGGAGAAUGUGUGAUAGGCAUCGGAAAGUUUCUGAGUAUACUUUGUAUCCUCAUUUUCAGUAGCUGGUUUGGGGAAGAUAUAGAUUCAAGUCGUUUGGACAAAUAUUAUGCGAUGCUGACACUUCUAAGUUUUGUUAACUUACUAAUAUACUGGUUGGUUGCGUACUGGUAUGGAGAUGAUCAAUUUUCACCUGAAGUAGAUUGUGAACUACUCAUAGAAGGUGCACAAGACAGAAUUGUGCCUUUGGUAUUGCGGUCCUUCUCUGAUCAGACGUCCAAUAAUCUUCAAUAUAUUAGUGUUUCAACAAGGAGAGCACUAUCCUUAUCUGAUAAGACACCCAAUAACCCUCUAUAUUUCAGUGUUUUCAGAAGGAGAACGCGGUCCUUCCCUGGUCCUGCUUGCCCUAUAACUCCAAACAAGCUGGAUGAUGCACAAGAGCAGGAAAAUGAACAACUACUCGAUUUAAAAAUAUCUGAUUGUGAACAUCGUGAUGUUUUGUAAAAUUGGUCAAUGUUAAAUUGAUCAUGGAAAGGUAUCAGAAUGGCUGCAAGACUCGAUCCCCUUACAUACCUUCUGUUAUUCCCCAAAGGAUCCUUCCUAUUAUGCUUACUAAUUGUGAUUUCUAUUUCUCUCCAUUUGUAUUGCUUUGUUUUUCUUUCUGAUAUAGACAUGUCUUUGAUUAUAAAUAUAUUUAAUGUACAAAAAAUAAUAUUUUUCUGAGCAUAGGCUUUAUUUCAUCUGAUGGCUCAAACCAUUAAUAAAUCAUCAGACCAAAAAAUGGUUGUUCCUAUUUCUGAUCCAUUCACAAACCCACAAUCAUAAUGGCAAAGAUCAUCAAUCAUUGUUGUUGUGUGACCUCUAUUUUCAAUUGAAAAUUAUAAUACUUGGCACAGAUCAUUGUGCACAGUCUUUAGAGCAAAGAACAAAUUGGGAUUAGCUGUGCUACAUGUAUACGUCCAUUUGCGUAGGGCCUGUACAGAGGCACACAUAUGGAGGUGGACUCCACACAUGGGGUCCACGUGUGGGUCCACCCCCAUGUGACAACCCCUACAAAUGGGCCUGGGAGCCUUUUUCAAUUGGGAUCUGCAUUAAUGGUGUCCUAAGGUUACAAUCGCUAAAAUAAGAAAACAAAUUCUAAUUUCUUAACUCAUGGAAGCCUAGGAAUUGGACGACAUCUAAUCGAUUGAGGAAGAUGAAAAAAUCAUUCAAAGAUUCACUGCAACCGCUUCGGAAAAGAAGGUCAUAUUAUUGACAAAUGCUACAAGAUACAAUAAUGUCCACAACGUAAUAAUGUUCGGCCACAUUGUUUUGUUGUUGUUAUAUAAUUAUUUAUCGUUCAAAAGGGUCAAUUUUGGGCUGAAAUGUGAAUGAAUUAAUGAUGAAAAUUGGAAGGCAAUAUGAUUAGGUAGUUUCUGUUUAACCAAGCAUAUGCAUAGCCUUGUCUACAGAAAAUUGAAGCGUCUUUGCUUCUACCAUGAGAAUGAAUUAAUGAUGAAAAUUAGAAGGCAAUAUCUUUUUGCUCUUCGUACCUUUUGUUUUCUGUUAUCAAUCCUAUCCCUAGCCAACACCCGUCUCCUCGUGCAUUUUAUUUUUGCACAAUUCCAUAACCCAGGAAGAAGGUAAUUGAAUCAGGACAAGACUGUGUAGUGCACAAUACAGAUCAUCAGGGGCUCACAAGUUAUAUUGACAUGCAGUAGGAAGAGAUCAUCUAAUUCGUCCUCCGUAUCGUCGGAUACAAAAUCUUCCUUGUCAAGCUCCCUCAUUUAAUUCUAAGCAUUUCUAGAACUUCUCGAAGGCAGUAAGAUAUCAUUUCCACCCCCAUCAUACUCCUUCGCAUCAUCACAACCCUCUACAAUCCAAGAUUUUCCAUUAGUUGCAUCACUUGCUUAUAGAGUCUCUAUUUUGCAUGUUCUACUCUUCUUGUUUGCCAACCUUGCAUUAAAUUGCACAAUAAUCAAGUCUAUUCUGUUUCACCAAGUGUAUCUAUAAUAAAAAAAAUGAGAAGAAGAAGAAGAGGAGGAGGAGGAGGAGGAGGAGGAGGAAAGGUACAUUUAAUGGAGCAAAGCAUAUUAAGUAAUUAUUCAUUGCUUAUUACUAAGUAAAAUGUAAUGACUUAAUUAAUAUUUAUCCCUUCAAAACAGCUCUAGUUUCUUUCACAACUGGAUGAACAAGUAGUCAAACCAAAUAUCCUUUUUGCCAUGGUCUUCAAAAUAGGUGUUUCAUUUCCAUAAAAAUCCCACCAAAUCACUAAUAAAUAUAAAUGAAAGAGACAAACAAGUUAUUUAAUAUUUAUAUAAUCACAUAUAAAAUAUAAUAAAUUAUUGAUGCAAGAGAAAGAGUAAUAUGUUAACAUACCUUGAUUAUAAUUUUCAUCAUUGUUUUUACAUGCACUUAUUGCAAGCUUCCUUCCAAAUGAAACUUUCUUUUGGAUAUAUCUUUGCAACUCAAUGAUUAUCACAUGAUGCUGCAUUUGAUCAUUAAGGAAGAAUUUAUCAACAUAAGCAUUUAUAUUAUUUAUCAUGAAUGAAUCAUCAUUGAUACACGGAUUCAUGAAGAAAUAGAAUGGAUUCAAAAAAAUAAGCAGUUGUAUGAAGUGGACUUCAUAAACCCAUCUUGCCAAAUAUUGAUGAACCUCUAAUAACAUUUUCUUAGCAAUUGCAUCAUUCAUAUUUUGUUGUCUCAAUUUCUUAAUUGCACUCAUAGAAGCAUUAUUGACAUUGAUAGACCUUGCAAAUUAAUCCAUAGGUCCCACAUUAAUAGGCCUUUCCUAGUCCCUCUUUCAAUAAUAGUGAUUCCAUCUUCUUCUUCCUCAUCUAUUGUAGGCAAAGAUAUAUUCAUAUCUUCUCUCAACUUACCAUCAUUCAAUAGCUUCUCUAUUUUUUUAGACUUGGUCCCUUGAAGAGCCUCAACACACUUAGCUUUUUUGUUCUUCACUUGUUUUAGGACAUGAUGCCAUACAUCUUCCCUUGAUUUCUGCUACGUGAAGUUUAUGCCUAGAAAUUCCUCCCCUUGUAACCUUUCACAUAAUAUGCAUUUCACAUUAUUAAGAUUGUUUGGACCCACGAAAAUUGCAGUUUUCCAUGCAACAUUUGUGGAAUUUCUUUUGAGUUGACUAGCUUUGGAUUUAGAUAUGCUUAACGAAUCACCUUCUUUCAAUGGUUCCUAAAAAAAAUAGAAACAAUAUAAAAUUUAUAAACAUUGGAGUUCAGUGUACUAAAAUAAAUAGAAUUAAGAUGCACACAAAAUUACAAAUUCUGUAAAUGUAAAAUACCCCAAGUUUUCCCAUUUUUCUGAUUUCUUUAGUGCAAAAAGAACACAAUUUAUAUGAUAAGGGAUGAAUAUUAUAUUGAUCAAACAUGCCAAGUUCAUGAUGGAAUAUUAUAAUGAUCACAAAUAUACUAACAUUAUUAUAUUUUUCCUUUUCCCAUUUUAUACGUAAAAGUUAGUAAAAUUGAUAGUGUACACUAGAGAAGACCCCAAUGUGGACCCAGUGUCAUUGGCUCAUUAGCCAAUCUUUUAGACUUUUAGCAUGGAGAUGCAAGGUUUGUCUUUUUCAUUUUCGACACUUUUAAUAUAGAAACCCCACUAUGGAGUCAGGAGUAUGGACCCGUGUCAAAAUAAUAAUAAAUAAAUAAAUAAAUAAAUCCAGGUUAGUCUAUUUUCUUUUGCAGAUUGAGUGCGUCUGACUUACCGUAGAAAGCACCAAGUCAAGCAGUUGUUGGAAGAGAAAGUGUUGAGAUGUUGCACAUUGGAAGAGAGGAAUUUUUGGAAGCUUUGAAGGCUUCAAGUGGUUGGUUUAAAUUAGGGCAGAUUGAAGACAUUAAUCUUAAUUUUUAACUUAAAAAAAAAAAUUAAAAAAGAAAAAAAGAAAAAAAAAUGAUAAUGAGCGUCUAGGCAUGCAUUAGCGAUCAACGGUUAAAUAAGGCACUGCCUAGACGUGCCUUUUAGAACAUUGAGUUGGAGUAAUUGAUUGACAACCAAUGUUAAUAUAUUUAGAAAAAGAGAAAAAUAGUCAUAUGGAUAAAUAUAGUUAGUUUAGAAUAUUGUGUUUAAGCUUCACUUUUUCUGAAGUAGUAAGAAAGAUUUUUCAAAAUUUGAUCGAUCAUUGANNNNNNNNNNNNNNNNNNNNNNNNNNNNNNNNNNNNNNNNNNNNNNNNNNNNNNNNNNNNNNNNNNNNNNNNNNNNNNNNNNNNNNNNNNNNNNNNNNNNNNNNNNNNNNNNNNNNNNNNNNNNNNNNNNNNNNNNNNNNNNNNNNNNNNNNNNNNNNNNNNNNNNNNNNNNNNNNNNNNNNNNNNNNNNNNNNNNNNNNNNNNNNNNNNNNNNNNNNNNNNNNNNNNNNNNNNNNNNNNNNNNNNNNNNNNNNNNNNNNNNNNNNNNNNNNNNNNNNNNNNNNNNNNNNNNNNNNNNNNNNNNNNNNNNNNNNNNNNNNNAAAACACAUAUUCCGCAUAUAAUCUUGAUUUCACAGCACUCAUUUUAAUAUUUUGAAUCUUUCAAUUUAAUCCAUAUUUCAUUUUAGGACGAUGCUGAAUUUUCCUCUUUUGCUUUAUGCUCAUCUUGGUUUAGUACACAAGUCUCGUUGUUUGACAUCGAUGAUUUAUCAAAAAUUUAGUCCUUGACCAGCAAAUAAUUAAAUCAAACCGUAACAGGCAAAAGCACGUGUUUCAUUCCGACCUUCAAAAAGUAUUGAUAUGACGUGGCCAAAAUGCUGCUUUCGAGCUAAUAGUAGAUUGGGUUUUCACUUCCUUAGGUAGCCAGUGACUUACGAUUAUUCUUAAACUUCUAUUGGUGGAGAAGAAGUGCACUGUACAUAUUUUCCCUAAUUGUCAUACCCAAACACGUUCAUUUGAGACCUUAAUUUUCCUUCGCCACAUAUUUUUCCUUUGCUCCAGCCAAUAAGAGAAAAAAAGGCCGAUGCACUUGCUACAGAUUAUGACCUUUUCGACUGAGUUACAAGUUUUCAACCAAAAAAUACCACUGACCCAAUAAGGCUUCUUUUCCUAGAGCAGUAACUAAAAGAUAAAAGAUUAGUUCCAAAUGGGAUUCAUUCUUUUAUGUCACCUUGCUAUUCGUGACAAUAAAGUAAGAAAUAGAACAAGUAACGUACCCUCAUUCUAAACUUACUCCAUGUAGGUUAGGGUGUGACGAUUAUUUUUACUGUAUUUAGAUCUUGCCGGUGCCACCUAAACAGUGCAUAGGCGAUGAAUGUGCGAAUAUGGCCAUUUCUCAGUCAGCCAUCACUAACCCUUCACUUUAGUGAAUUUCUUGAAUGUUCUCCAGCAGUCGAUUUACUUGAGAUUUCGUCAUGUCUCUUUCUCUAUUCUCUUGGAUAAUUUUUUUCCUAUAGGACCUUGGCUAGUAAACCCCCCCAAUAGGCUAUUAAUGUUUAUCCUUUCCCUAACAAUAUAGAGCUUGGGAAUCUCGAGCGCAAUCAAGAUUUGAACAACAAUGAACACUCAACUUCUAGUCUAGCCUACUAGUUGCUUUUCUUAGUUGUGAUGCAAAUAGGUGAGAUGAUUCGAGUCGGUGCAGUCUGAGCCAGAAAAUAGUCAAUUUUCUUAGUUGUGGAAGUAAUUAUUUGAAAAUUGAUUUUUUGAGAAGGGGUUUUUAUUUUUUAUUUUUUUAAAGAGAUACAAAUAGUAUAAAGAUACAAGUGGAAAGAGAAAAUGUGGAAUUUUCGUGUAUGAAAAUGUGAUUGAUUUGUAGUUGGUUGAAAAUGAGUUUACAAAAAUUAAAAUUUAUACAAAUAUGUAUCAAGCAGGGACUUAAUGAGUAAUGCUACUUACCAUCAUUGAUUUUAUAACAUUAGUUUUGAUGACAUUAACAUGAUAUUAAAUGAAACGUACAAUUAAAUAAGUCACUCAAUUCUAUUUUUCAUUGACCUUAUCAUAAAAAGUAACCUAAAUUGAUAUUAUAGUAGCAAUGACAUUUGUUGGGUUUUGAUACCCAAAGAAUCCCGAGCUAUGACGUUAAUGUCAGAAUAUAAUUUCAUAGGUUUCGACCAAUGGUAAAUUGAUUACCAACAAUCAAAUCCAAAAGCCCAAUUGAAAACAACGUGGAUCGUUGAAAGUAACUUAAGAAAUUAGUGUUGCUCACGGCCCAUAUAUAUUUACCUAUUGGAUGAUUUUGAAUCUUGGUGCAUUUAAUUAUAGCCUAAUAUAUUUCUAUAUAUACGUUGUUUGACCUAGGCGUUCAAGCGUGUGAUUUGUGUGUGAAAAGUGAAAAACUUGGCUGCCAUUAGAGAGGAAAAAUCCAACUGCUUUGUGCUUCCAAAAAACUGGUGAUCUACUUUAUAUUAUUGGUCCCUUCUUUUGCUUUCUUUUCAUUGUUUUUCAUCUUGCUCUUAUGGCCGACAAGUCAAUACCAUUAUUUUAUCCUUUGUGGAUGAGACUGAGUAGCAACCUAGGUAAAUUUUGGUUGUGGGUUGGAACCGUUUGAAUUGGUUAUUUUGUAGAGAAAGGUAACGUGAUAUUGAGCCCAAAAAAUAUCGUUUAAAAGAUUUUUGGAGUGAACUUUCGCGACAAUUGAUAUCAAAGCUUCAAGAUGGUGGAUUUGACUAAAAAUCUAACCAAAACGGACCAAAAUAUGACAGAAUCGAAGAAAAAAUAGAUAAAAAAGGGUUAAUAGCACAAAACGUUCGUACAUUUGACACUUAUUACGAAAAACGUCCCUACGUUUCUUUUUUUUUUUUUUUUUUUUUUUUUUGCAUUUUCGUCCUUAUUUCAAUGUUUCAUUGCUAAAAAUGCCAAUUUCACCAUUUUUAAUAUAAAAUUACCAAAAUACUCUCCUAUUUAAAUAAAAGCAAAAAAAAGAAAAAAAGAAAAAAAAGAAAAGUAAAAUAAAGAAUAAAUUGCAAUUUUACUCCUAAAUGUUUUAAAAAGUGCAAGUGAGUCCAAAUAAUUAUUAAAAUGCAUAAUAGCACAAACGUCCCUACGUUUAGCAUGUAGUAUGCAAAACUUUUCUACGUUUCAAAUUGAUGAAAAUGACGUUUUUCAUAAUGAAACGUGAAAAUAGAGAUGAAAAUGUAAAAAAAAAAUUGAAACGUAUGAACGUUUUCCGCAAGAAGUGUAAAAUGUAGGGACGUUUUUCGCAAGAAGUGUCAAAUGUAGAGAUGUUUUGUACUAUUAGACCUUAUUAAAAUUGAAACCAAUGCCAAACCGGUGAACCUCCAUACCGUUUUCAAAAUACCAUCACCAAAACUCUGGCGGCACCAUUUGUUUCGGAGAGAUCGAUGUCAUUUCCAAUACACCAAUUGACUAUAUUUACCAGGCCGCUUCUCUCCAUGGUCUCUUCUUCUCCAAAUGGGACUGCCACCUUAGAAAUGAAGAAACUCCGACGGCAUGGAGGUUCGGCGGUUUGGGCGAUGGUUAGUCGGAGUUUUUUCAUUUCUAAGGUGGCAGUCCCCAUUUGGAUACAGUAUUAUCUAAAUUGAUGUUAUAACACUAAAAUAGUAUUAUUCUGCCCUUCGAAAAUCAUUAAAAUAAUUUUUUUCUCAAAUUUAUUUUCAAUCAUACAUUAGUAUAAUAAAAAUAUUUUGCAGUAAAUUCAAUUUAUUAUUAUUAUUAUUAUUAUUAUUAAUCACACAUUAUCACAAUAAAAUAUUUUACACGUAAAUUUAAUUAAUUAAUUUAUUAUUAUUAUUAUAUUUUUUUCUUUUUAAUUACACAUUUUUCAAAAAAAUACUAUUUCAAUUUAUUUAUUUAUUAUUUUUUUUCCCCGAAAACCUGGUUGUCAAAGAGGGCGCAAGUCUUUAAUGAAAAUGUCGCAGACAAACUUAGAAAUAAUUCAUUAAGCCUUUGUUAGGUAAAUUCAUAAAUGGUUUAUAAAACAAAAUACAUGUAAAUUCUUAAAAUAUGUGAGUAAUGUUGAAUGAUUAAAAUUAUUAUUAAUUUUGAUAUAAUUCAUAAAUAUGGGGGUCAAAUGAAGUUAAUAUGGUAGCUUUAUAGGAACUUUUUAGUACGAAAUAGUGACGGGAAUAUGAAAUUUAUGAUUAGUAAUGAAUGAUAGUUUUUGAAUAUGUGGGGAAUAAUGAGGUUAAUAUGGUAGCUUUAUUGUUUAUUGUCCCAUUUCCUUUCCUCGAAACCAAAACCCAUCAACGAAUUUUGCUUAAACAUUCCACUUUAUAUUCGGGUUCAUCAUCAUACUGCAUGCUGCAAGACAAUGACAAAAAUAUCUGGAACCGGGUAAUCUGGCCAAUGCACUUCCCUUUUACUUUACGGCAAUUCCUCUUGUACAGAGGAAUUGAGCCUAUAUAAAUGCCUUAAUUUUCGAGAAGUAAAAGACUGGCUAUAUACUAUUGUAGCAGUGGAAUCGUUAUGAGGAUAAUCAAGUGGUGUUUGAAGAAGUUCCCUUUCUCAAAGAAAGCAUUGUUUAUAAUUAGUAAAUGAAGAAUAAUUAUGCUGAUUUUGAUUAUUUCCUUACUUCUAACACUUGGCUUAAAUUUCUGUCGGCCUCAUAUUUGUCCACAGUGCCGUAGAGAUGGCACUGCUAGAUAUACUGAUCACUCAUCUCCCAGGUGUAUGGAACCUAACAAAAUCGGCUAAAGCUGUCAAUUUACAAGAAGGAACCGCGGCAGUUCUGCAAAUUUUAUUUGCUUUUGCAUCGGAUGCCUAUCUGGGCCGCUUCAAAAUGGUGGUUUAUUCCACCAUCUCUUAGAUCAUUGUGAGUUUUGUAUUGAGAAAGGAGCGUCAAACCCUCCACCUUUUACUCUCAAAUGUCUUACUCAGAGAUUUUCAAAAUCAAUCGACUUUUUGUAGGGAUUGGUGCUCAUCUGGAAUGCAGCUAGGCAUAGAAAUAGAGAUAUUCUAACGUUCUACUUGGGACUGGUGCUAAUAACUCUGGCACAAGCAGCAAAAGUGGUAUCCUUGAAAGCAUUUCUUGAUGAUCAAUUCAUGGCGAAGGAUAUCCCAACCACAGAAGAGGAUAAAGAACGACAACAUAGCGGUAACAACGUUUGGUGGCACUUUGCAUCCAUCUUGGGAGCUAUUCCAGCUAUUUUUGUCUGGCAUUCAUUGAAGCUGCUUUCUAUGAUCUCAGCAAUUGCAAUGAUGGUUGCAUACUUGUGGUUCUGGUUAGGUACAAAAUUUUACGAAUGCAAUGGACCAACAGGCAGCGCCAUCUCUGAUGUUCUAUUUGUUAUCAAAACAGCGGUACUAAAAAGAAAUAUUCUCUAUGCAACUACUCCAGAGCAGCUCUUCCAAAAUUAUACAGGCGAUAGGCAUCGGAAAGUUUCUGAGUAUACUUUGUAUCCUCAUUUUCAGUAGCUGGUUUGGGGAAGAUAUAGAUUCAAGUCAUUUGGACAAAUAUUAUGCGAUGCUGACACUUUUAAAUUUUGUUAACUUACUAAUAUACUGGUUGGUUGCGUACUGGUAUGGAGAUGAUCAAUUUUCACCUGAAGUAGACAGUGAACCACUCAUAGAAGGUUCACAAGACAGUAUUGUGCCUUUUGUAUUGCAAUCCUUCUCUGAUUAGACGCGCAAUAACCUUCAAUAUAUAAGUGUUUCAACAAGGAGAACACUAUCCUUAUCUGAAAAGAUGCCCAAUAACCCUCCAUAUUUCAGUGUUUUCAGAAGGAAAACGUGGUCAUUCCCUUGUCUGGCUCGCCCUAUAAUUCCAAACAGGCUGGAUGAUGCAUACGAGCAGGAGAAUGAACAACUACUCGAUUUAAAAAUAUUUUACUGUGAACAUCGUGAUGUUUUGUGAAAUGGGUCAAUGUUAAAUUGAUCGUGGAAAGGUAUCAGAAUGGCUGCAAGACUCUAUCCCCUCAAACUCCUUCCUGUUAUUCCCCAAAGGAUCCUUCGUAUUAUGCUUUCUAAUACGUUGUGAUUACUAUUUCUCUCCCUUUGUAUUGCUUUGUUUUUCUUUUUGAUAUAGGUAAGUCUUUAAUCCAAAAAUAAUAUUUUUUAGCUUCGGCUUUAUUUUAUCCCUUUCAUCUGAUGGCUAAAACCACUGAUAAAUCAUCAGACCAAAAUGUGGUUGUUCCUAUUUCUGAUCCCUUCACAAACCCACAUUCAUAAUGGCAAAGAUCAUCAGUCAGUAUUUUUCUUGUGUGACAUCUAUUUUCAAUAGAAAACUAUAAUAAUUGGUACAGAUCAAUGUGCAUGGUCUUAAGGGCAAAGAACAAAUUGGGAUCUCCAUUAACGGUGUCCCAAGUUUACAAUCGCUAAAAUAAGAAAACAAAUUCUAAUUUCUCAACUAAUGGCAACCUAGGAAUUGGACGAACAUCUAAUUGAUGGGAGAGGACAGAAAAAUCAUUCAAAGAUUCACCGCAACCACUUGGGGAAAUAGGGUCAUACUAUUGACAAAUGCUACAAGUUACAUGGGUGUCCACCGCGUGAUACCAUUCGGCUGCCUGGUUUUGUUGCUGUUAUAUAAUUGUAUAUAGUUCAAACUUUGGGCCCUUUUUGGCUGAAAUUUGAAUAAAUUAAUGAUGAAAAUUGGAAAGUAAUACUGGGAAGUUUCUGCUUAACCAUGCGUAUGCAUGGGCGAUGCACAUGCACCGCCUUGUCUGCAGAAAACUGAAGCGUAGCUCCUACCAUGUGAAUGAUUAAAUGAUGAAAAUUGGAAGGCAAUAACUUUUUGCUCUUUGUACCUUUUGUUUUCUGUUAUCAAUCCUAUCCCCUAACAAGCACCCGUCUCCUAGUGCAUUUUAUUUCUGCACAACCCAAGACUUUGUAGAGCAUAAUAGAGAUCAUCUGGGGCUCGUGGGUUAUAUUGACAUGUAAAUGUGAGAAAUUGUUUUGAAGUAUAAUUUUCAUCAGUGUAUUAUUUGAUUAAUAAUGGCGAGGCUGUACAUGUAUUUCAGGCUGACAAUUUGCGGCAACAGACUUUGCAACGAAUGCAUAGUAUAUUGACAACUCGGCAAUCAACUCGUCCUCUACUUGCCAUCAACGAUUGCUUCUCUCAGCUUCGAGCACUUGGCUCUCUUGGGCUCCAUCGUCCCCGUGAGUAACAUCUCCCCAUUAAUGCAACUUGUUUUGUAUGUUUGUUGACAAUGUAGACUUUGGAGACGGCCAGAGUUACCAGACGGUUUCUGUGAAUUCUUCCCAUCAUCAUCAUCAUCAUUCCUGCAGCUUCAUCUCAUGUUGUGUAAAUUUUCAUUUUCAGUUAGUUGAAGUAAUUGAUUUGCAACCAAUGUUAAUAUAUUUAGAAAAAGAAAAAAAAUGGUCGGAUCGAUAAAUAUAGUUAGUUUAGAACAUUGUGUUUAAGCUUCACUUUUUCUGAAGUAGCGAGAAAGACUUUUCUAAAUUUGAAUGACGAUUGAUUACAAUUGAUUUGGAUGACGUAACAUCUUUUCAUAAAUUUUUAGUGAGAUUUUCGGAUGGUAGGUCACGGAAAGCUACCCCUUUUUAAUCUCGUAUGGUUUUGUUAACGAAUAAUGCUUUCUAGUUUCAAUGAUAACACUUCUCUUUUAAGUAAUGCGAUAUGUUGAAUUAAAAUGUGAUAAGUUUCGAGUUCCAUUUAAUCAUAUUUAAUUAACUUCGUAGGUUUAGUCUUUUUCCUUCAUAUGGAGCCUAAUGAAACAAUGUCUGAUUUUCGUGUCAUUUUCCCAUUUCCUUGGUGUUUAUAGUUUUUAUUUUAAAAACACAGUGAACUUCCAAAAUGUGUCAAAUUAGUUAUGGUACUUUUUUAAGCAUAAAUGUUUAUUGAAAUUACAAAAUUGGUUCGAUUAAGUCAUUCUCACGUCUCCAUUAUUAAAUUUAACAUUUUUUUUUAUAUGUCUAAUAAUGUAGUUUUAAGUGGCUGACGAUCUUGAUUAUGUUGCAUGAGUAUGUGAGAAAACACAUAUUCCACAUACAAUCUUGAUUUCACAGUGUUCAUUUUAACGAUUUAAUUCUUUCAACAUAAUCCGUAAUUCAGUUUUGGAGGCUUAUUUGCCCUCUUUUUCUCUAUGCUCAUUUAGGUUUAGUACACAAGUCUAGUUGUCUGAUGCGAUUUUGUUUGAAAUUUUUGGAUAUAUAUAUUAAGCCUAUCUUUGAUAAUCAUUAAAACAAAAUUCUUUUUUCUCAAACUCAUUUUUAACCCCCACAUUUUUACAAUAAAAUUAACAUUCUGCACGUAAAUUCAAAACUUAUUUUACUUUCAAAUAUAGAUUCUCCAAAAAAUCACUAUCACAUGACUAAUUUUCCCCAGAAACUCGUUUUAAUAGUUGUCAAAUAGGGAUUAAACAUCAGAAAAUCUCCUAUGAUUUACCAAAUUUUAGUCCUUGACCAGCAAAUAAUAAAUCAAACCGUAACAAGCAAAAACCCAUGUUUCAAUUCGACCUUCAAAAAAUGGUAUUGAUAUGACACGAAGAAAAUGCUACUUUCGAGUUAAAAAAUAGAGUGAUUUUGCAAUUUCUUCUUUAUUUUUCUUUAUUCUUUAUUUUUGUUUAUUUAAGGAGGAGUGUAUAUUUGUCAUUUUACAAUUUUAAUUGAGAAAAAGGAUGAAAAUAACGAUUUUGCAAUGAAAUAUGAAAUAAAGAUGCAAACGUCAAAAAAUGAAAGGUAGAGACAUUUUGCACAAAAAAUAAUGAAAGAUGAGGAUCUUUUGUGCUAAUUACCUUUUCAAUAAUUUAUUUGGACACAAUUGCAUUUCUUAAUAAGUUUGAGAUUAUGAUUGCAAUUUAUUCUUUAACUUUUCUUUUUUAUUGUUUUAUUUAAAUCGGGGGUGUAUUUGUCAUUUUACACGAGAAAUUUGAUGAAAAGGAUGAUUUUCGCAAUAAAAGAUGAAGGUAAUGGUAAAAAUACUAAAAAUUGAAAGGUAUGAACGUUUUACACAAUAUCAUUGAAAGGUAAGUACGUUUUGUACUACUAUUAAUUAUUUGAAAUCAUUUAAUAAUUUGCAAAUAUAUUAACAAAGGCCAUGUCAAGAGAAAGAGUCUAAGCACAUAGUAGGGGAUGGGAUUGAAGCCUAUAUAAACAAGAGCCACAUAUGAUAAUAUCUAAUAUGGGGACAAGAGACCCUUAGAAUUGGGUUCAAUGGGAAAAAUGAAUCAUAUGAUGGUCAUAAGAAAUGUACUAUUUACGUUAUUUAUUUUCUUAUUGUCCCUAUAGCGUGAGAGCAUUUAUCUUGUAAUGCUUUUGGAAGUUGAGUUUUCGUAUUAAAAAAAAUAAAAAUAAAAUCUCAAUGAGAUCUAUAGCACUUAUGAGUUGGUGGUAAGUAUUACAUGAGCACUCUUGAUAGUUUUCACCUAUGUGAGUGUGGAGUAGGGCUACUUUCUAUGAGAAUUGAGCUUAUUUUUAAAUACGUCAUGAAACCGAGAUUAGUACAAGAUCGUAACGUGCUGACUAUUAAAGCUUAUGUCAACACCUGAAUUGUUAUAUAUAGACAGUAAUUUUUUAUUUCCCUUAUGUAGUCAUAAUACAAUGCUGAGCACACUAUUGUCUCUCGAGUGAAGGUUUCUAUUUCACUAAGUGAAGAUUCAAUGCAGAGCACACCUUCAUGAUGCAUAAUAGUCCCCCUGCUUGGUAAUCUUUCUGUCUAUUUUAUAUUAAAAUGAGUGGGGAAAUGUUGGUACAUUUUAAUAUAUUAGUCAACUUUGAACGUGCGUUGCACAUUAUUAUGAAAUGUUUUAUAAGUGUUGUAAAGGUAAUAUUUGAACAUGCAUGAAUAUUAAUUAAUUUAAAAUUAAUACCAGGCAAUAUAUACAUAACUAUAAAUGUUAAAUCAUUUAUUUAAUUUCCAACUAUGUAAAACUAGAUGUUAAUUAGCAUAUAUGGAUGUGAAUAACAAAAUGUAUUCUUGAAUAUGAGAUUUUAAUUAACUUAUAUUUAGAAUUGAUAACACCGAAAUGCAUAAAUGAAGAUGAAUAUUAUUUAAAUAAAUGUAAUGUUAAUUAAUUGAGAAUUAAUAAUGGGUAAUUCAUACAUUAAUGAAGGCACACAGGUGAAAUGAAUUUGUCAAAUAUACAUGUAUAUUAAUGAAUUAAACACAUUGAAAAAUGAAAAGCAAGGUAUUAUUGAAAUAAUAGAAUUAUAGUAGGGCUAAAAUCGUUCAAAAAUGAUUCUCACUUAAUGUGAUAUUUAAUAUAUUAUAGAUUUAAUCUUUACGGGUUUUAGAAAUUAGGAAAGAGAAGAGGUUGGAGGUUUGAAAAUGAAAGGGAAAAUGUUUGUGUUUAUGACACCUUUAUUUUGGUGGCCUAUUUUUACCUAUAAAUAGGACUAUUCCUUGGUCAUUCAUCAGCACCAUAACAUUUACAAUUCUUUUAGCUUUUCUCCUUACAUUCUCACUCAUUUUCUUUGAGAGAUUAUAGAGCAAAGAAUGAUGUUCUUUUAGUGGAACUUUGAGCUCAACUACUUGUGCAAAGUUUGUUUGAGCUAUACGACGAACGAUCGGGCUAUUGUAUCUUGAAGGAGACAAGUCACAAAAAAGUUCCGCUAUUCCGUAUUUUAGGCUUUUCCAAUCGCAGAGAGCUUGAAUCUCCUUAAAGAGAGCAAGAUAUCCGUUUCUCAAUCCAUCCAAUUUCAUUAUUUUCCUAUUUAUUUUGUAACACCAUUUUCUAUUAUUGAAAUUUCACCAACGUAAGAGUUAGGGUGUAAUAGUUAUUUUACCAUAGUUAGAUCUUGUUGGUGGCACCUAAACUGUGCAUAGUGUUGGGCAAUUUGUUGUCAAUCGAUCUCUUCGGACUAUGAUGUUAUUCGAUUUUAAUCUUUAGUCGGCAUAGCCAAUUGACUGAACGAAAAUUAUAACACCACAGUUGAGACAACACAACCCAAAGGUUAAUUGGGCCAUUUGAAGUAACCUCAAUAAUUUAGUGUUGCUCAUGGCCUAACCCACUUUCUUGAAUGGCAAAAAAUGAGAGAGAAUUUACUUGGUAGCCCAUUUGUAUACUUUUGGGCCUCUACUUAACCCAAUCAUUAACCUAGUGCUACUUACCUUAUUUGGACUGUUAACAUAAUAUAUUGGGUCUCUCUUCUUCUUUGCAAGAACCCGUCUCACCUCUCUCUCUCAGUGAACUCUCGGCCUUAGUGAUUUCUUCUACGUCUCUGCCUCCUUUCAGUUCCUAUCUUUUGUAGUGAUUAUCAUUGAGAUAUUGCAUGCCUUUGUGGUCUUCUAAGUAAGCUAUCUCUUUGGUAACUAAAAGUGGAAGCUUGGUUUUGUCUUGAGUCGUUUGUUCUCGGGUUGUGGUGUAUUGGUUGGAAUAAACUGAACCUGGGCCAACGUUGGUGAUCAACAUACACUUUACACAGGUGAUGAAUGUGCGGAUAUCGCCAUUUCUCAAUCCUGUUGGAUGUUUCCUAGCAGUCACUUUACUCAAGACUUCAUCAUAUCUCUUGCUCUAUUCUCUUGGAUAAAUUUUUUCCUAUGGGCCUUGUCUAGUAAAUCCCCCAUAGGCUUUUGUUCAUCAUUUCCCUAACAAUAGAGAGCUUGGGAAGCUCGAAUGCAAUCAAGAUUUGAACAACAAUGGACACUCAACUUCUAGUCUAGCCUAGUAGUUUUUCUUAGUUGUGAUGCAAAUAGUGAGCCGAUUUGUGUAAAUGCAAUCUGUGCUAGAAAAUAGUUAGAAUAAGGAAAGCAUAUAGGGAAAUACGUAACUCUUGUACAUUUCAUUUUAGGGGCUCUUUUGCUCUUUAGUUAAACUUUCAACACAAUAGUUUUUAUGGGUACUAUUGUGAAUCUACUUAACAUGCAAAGCGAAAAAUUAAAAUAAUUUUCGAUUCUUACCAUGGAUCUCUUUGUGUUUAAAUAGAAACUGUAAUAAAGAUUGUACCUUUUACGAGAUUUGCAAACUCCUUUGCUUUUCUCUUGUUCUAGCAGUUUUGAUCUGUCACCCAUAGCUGUCCAAUUGUCCAGAAUCUAACGGUGAUCCACACAGAGAACAAGAUUGUAGUAUUAGAGUUUUUCUUGUACUAGCAAGAAUAAUGAAAAAUCUCUACAAUUUUGAAAAUCCUAAUCAUAUUUAUAUAAGUCCGAACGGGCUUGACCUGACCCGGUCCAACAUUUAAUUAACCCAUUUAAUUAAAUUCGGUUUGUAAACUAAUUAAUCCAACUAAUCAAUUCAGUCCUAUAAAUAGGCAACCCAAUUAAUUUAUUUAUCCAACACUUGUUAAAUUAAUUAAUUAACAAAUCACAAUUUUCCAGUCCUCCUUUUGUGUGCGACCUAUCAGGUUCCCGAUCACAAUGCCUAACGAUGUGAAAUAUUAUUUUGAUCUAAUCAAAAUUGAUAAAUUAAAAUACCCUUUUAAUCUAUCACAAAUUCACACUCACCGUUCCAGAUUGACAUCUAGUAAUGUGUCAGAGCAUUACAUGUGACGAAAAAUAUCACGUGGUAUGAUAAAACCAAACUUGUUCGUUUACCGUGAAACUAUAAUCCCUUCGUCAAUAUGAUCCGAUCAAUUACGAGAUAUGAAAGUGUGUCAAUCUUGAUUAUCGAUCAUAUAUUUCACUCCACUAUUAAGUCAAUAUAAUUCGAAAACUCCUUUUCGACUUAUAAGUACACUUUGGCCAAGGAUUUUAUUUUCGACUUAAUUGAAUGAAAUACAGAUCAUAAUCUCCUACUAUCUAAGAGUGACGAAUCCUCUAUUGGUCAUUCACAACUAGGGUUGGCAACGGUUCGGUUAUGGGUCGGUUCGACCAAAAAUCAUAACCGCACCACCAAUUUUUUGACCAUACCAUAACCGCACCAUAACUACGUAAAUCGGUUCGGUUUGUAUCUCGGUUCAGUUAGGUUAAUAACCACGAAAAUAAAUUAUUUUUUGUAGGUUCAUCCGUCAAAUUGAUAUAAAACAAUUUAUUAAAAAAGUCAAUGAAAACAUAAAUACAAUAUUCCAAACGAAAAUGCAAACAUUAUCAAACAAUAUUCCAAACAAAAAUGCAAACAUUAUCCCAAUUUUCAAUUGUAAAAUACAAUUUUAACAAACAAUAUUAUAAAUAUAACAAUACUAAACUUUUUCUUCAUUCUUAAUUGUUGUGCAUCGAAGUUAAUUGAUUCAUUCUUCCCCACAAGUCUUACUAGCAUAGAUCAACACUCAAAGUUGAUUCUUAUAUAGUAAAUAAGAAAUGUAAGUAGAGAAUACAACGAUACUACCUAUUUCAGAAUGGUCUUAACUAAGAUUUAAAUAAAAAAAUGUACCUCUUCGUCAGCUUCCUUCUCGCUAAACGUUGCACAAGUUCUAGAGUAUGAUGAAGAAGUAGAAUUUUCUACACACAAUAGGAAAAAAAUUAACAAUAAAAUGAGCCAUGCGUGAGUUUGUGGCUUGUAGAGAAUAGGGUUUGCAUUUAUAUACUAUCAUACUAAUGUUAUUAUUAUGGGCUAAUGCUAAGUGGGUUGGCUGAUCGAUUCAGGUAGAUGUAAUGGGGAGGAGAUUUUGUUUUGGGCUAAUAGAAAAGUAGUGUAAAAUCCAAUAAUCAAUUCAAUUGUUUUUUUAGUGGGUAAUCAGUUUGGUUUCGGUUCGACUGUGUAAAUAUCAUACCUGCACCGCCAUGAACCGAUUCAUUAAAAUAAAAAUCAUAUCCGCCCCAUUGCACCAUCGGUUCGAUUUUUUCACCCCAUUCGAUUCGGUUAACUGGAAUUUUCGAUUUUGACGGUUCAAAUUGCCAUCCCUAUUCACAAUCUUCAUAUGAUUCUUGACAUACCCGAACGAUGUCGUAUUAGUAUCCCUUGGCAGAGCAAUAUCCAACACCGUCAAAGCAUGACUGUCCUCAUAUGAGAUAUUAUGACGACCUCAUGUCAAAGGACCAAUCCCACUACCGAACGUUAGAGAUUAACCACUGACACUCAGAUAGUUAUCCAUGUGGAAUCUUUAGGCGGGUCUCCAAUGUUUUGUUCUACAAAAAAACAUCCACGUUUUCAUUUUAGUGUUACUUCACUUUAACUUGUGAGAUCAGCUACUUACUUCACAAGUAAGAAAUGCCACACGUGAUGGUUUAUCCGUAAUAGUGAUAUACGUAUCUCGUUAUUACAUACGACCACGAAUAAUUUAAGAUUCAAUCAUAUGUAAUUUGUUUUUCACAAUCACAACUCCUUGUGAUUAACAAAUUACGAAAAUUUGAAUCUACGGACUCUAUUUAUUAAUUUAAUUGUAUAUUAAUUAAAUAAUAGAUCUCCCAUUAAACUGUAUUAAUUAUAUAUUAAAAGUAUUUAUAUCCAAUGUUGAUUGGACUUAGGACAUAACACUUUCAAACUCUCACUUGCACUAGAUCCAAUCACUUAUAUAUCCAAUAACAUAAGAGUCCACAUGACGAUCAUAUUUAUAUUGCGACAACUCUUUGUCAGUGGAUCUGUAAUAUUGUCAAACAUGAGAAUUUGUUCUUCUCUUUACAUCAUUUUUAUGUAUUAUCUCUCUAAUGAGAUUAUAUCGCUUUAAUACAUGUUUGGAUCAUUGAUGAGACCUUAGUUCCUUCGCUUUCACGAUGGCUCUAUUGUUAUCACAAUACAAUGUCAUGUGAUCAACACUAUUAGGAACAACUCUAACUUCAUUAAUGAAUAUCUUGGUCCACAUUGCAACUCUUUGCUGCUUCUGAGGCAAUCAUGUAUUAGGUUUCCGCUAUUGAAUCAACGAUUGUCUUAUGUUUGGAACCUUUUCAACACAUCGUUUAAGAGUAAACCAAUUUUUUCACAUAAAAUCUUCUCAAGAUUUUAUUUAUAUAGAUUGGGACGAGUUAAGCAAUCUUUUAGAUCUAUCUCUAUAGAUCAAGUUGCUUCUCCAUAUCGUUCAUGAAUAAAUCCUUUAACAACCAUUAUUUCAACGAUUGAAAUAUAGGGAUGUCGUUUCCUAUGAUAUUAGGAAUAUGACAAUACUCCAACUAUUUUCUUGUAAACACACAAUUCAUCUUCAAAUUUAAUAAAAUCAAACAUUUUGACUUUUCCAUCAAAUUGAUGAUUUCAGCUCCAAGAGACUUGUUUUAACCCAUAGUCACAGUAUGCAACUAUUGCAACCUAAAUUCGAAUGAACUUCAGCAUGACUAAAUGCGAAAGGUUUCGUCAAGGCCAAUGCUUGACCUUUUGCUACUAGCCGUACUUUGUAUGUGUGGAUAUUCCCAUUCAUGUCGACCUUUUCUUUAUAAAUCAUUUACAACCUAUGGGUUUUAUCCCAUCAAGAGGGUCGACCAAGGUUCAAACCUUUUUUACAUACGUCGAGUUCAUCUCGAAUUUCAUGGCCUCUUGCCGUCUCUUUUAAGUCAAUACUUGAUUUUACUUUUGUGUAAUUAGUAGAUUCAUCAUCCUUGGAUCAAUAAUACCUGAUUAGUAAUCACGAAUUCGCACCUUCUUGAAAGUCGAAUGAUCCUACUAGAUUCACGCAGAGCUAACAUAUCCUCAGGAGUCUCUACUUCCUGAUUAAGAGUAUGCCCCACAUCAGAUAUGCGAUCAAACUCGGAUUCAUUUACUUGGUUAAUUAUAUCUGUGGACUUUUGAACUCUUUCAAGUCCUAUUUUGCUCCUACUGUCCUCUUUUAGAGUAAAUAUUUUCUCUAAGAGGACGAUAUAUCGUGAGACGAAGACUUUCUUCUCAGUGGGUUAAUAGAAUUGAUAUUUAAAUAUCUGUUUUGGAUAUCUCACAAAUAUGUAUUUAUCGGAUUUAGUCUCAAACUUAUUCGAUUCAAUACGCUUCAAAUAAAUGUCACCGUCCCAAACUUUCAUAUGAGAUAAAUUGGGACUAUUGCCUUUCCAUAGCUCGUAUGAAGUUAUGUUAACCAAUUUAGAUGUGACAUGAUUUAGUGUGUUGCAUACUGCAAUCAGUGCAUGACCUCAAAAAUGACUUUGGGAGAUUCGCAUGGCUUGUUAUUAAUCGCUCUAUAUCUAAUAGUUUACGAUUUCUCCUUUUCAAAUAAACCAAUUUGUUGCAGUGUAUAUGGAAGAGUCCACUGCAAGAGAAUCUCAUUCUCUCUUAGAUAAUUUAAAAUUUCACCUUUAAGAUAUUCUUCACUUAGAUUAGAUCUUAGUGUAAGAGUAUCCUUUCAUAUUUGUUUCUUUGCUUCUAACUUGAAUCCUUCGAACCUUUUCAGGAGCUCAUUCUCGAAUUUCAUCAAAUAUACAUAGCCAUUUUCGAAAUAGUCAUUAGUAAAUGUGAUGAAAUAAGAGAAACCUUAUCCAGCAUCAACCGACAUGGGUCUACAUACAUAACUAUGUAUUAGACCAGUAAUCAUGCAGAUAUUUCUCCUUUUCAAAUAAAAGGAGAUUUGGUCAUUAUGCCUAGUAGGCAGGACAUGCACUUGUCAAAUGAUUCAAAAUCAAUUGAUUCCACAUAUACAUCUCUAUGUAAUAUUAAAAUUACAUUUCAUCUAUUUGACCAAGUCUGCAAUACCAUAUUUAGGUACUAUUUAGAUUAUUUCUUUUAUGCUUUUUAACUUCUAUACUCAUUAUAGAAUGCUUAAUGUUUAGAAUAUAAAUGUUAUUUGUAGCUGACCAUAACUAUUAAGAUCUUAAUCAAGAUAAGCAUGAACAACAAUUGUCCAUAACAUUAAAUAGUUCAUGCUCGAACAUGAAAAUCAUUUUAAUGUCCUAGCUAUGGUGGAUAGAAAGCAACAUUUCUCUAAUUCCAAUACUAAGUCUAAAGGCAACAACAAGAAGUAUACUCCUACAGGCAAUGCAACAAUCUUUGCUCAUCUACAACGUGUAGGCCAACUUCUCCCAUUUGCAGUGGUCUACUUCAAUUUAGUUUCUCCAUAUUUGUAUAAAUAUAAGAUCCAUAUCUAGUAUCAAAUACCUAAGAAACUCAUGAAGUAGAGGUAAGCCUUGCAAUAUUUCUUCCAACGACUUUUCAUUCUAUAAUGAAACCAAAGGUCAUUAGAUUUGAUAUUGUCCUUUGCUUUGACGGUCUUAGCCAUAUUGGACGCUUUCACAAAGCCCAUUUAGACUUUCUAUUAAUAUCCUUAGAGGAAUUAAUGACUUGCCUACUCGUAACUUUGAUAUUGGGCAUAACAGUCUUAAGCAUGUUAAGCAGUUUAAUAAUUGUGCAUUCGAGCUUGUUCAUGUUAAAUUCAUAAUUAGUUAUGAAUAGCUUGUUGGAAAAAUGAGUGAAUUGGCUCACUUUUUGCACAAUUUUCGGUGGAACCCGUUGGUCCAAUUUGAAAUAUCAAAGUUGAUAUGUGUUCUCUUCCGCGAGAAUAUCGAAAUCAUGUAUUUAUUUGUCAAAAAUGAAAUUCGGAUGAAUGAGAAAUUGGAGUCUAAAGUGGACCAUUGGAAAUGGUCUAUGUUGGUGGGAAAAGUUUGUCCCACAUAAGAAAAAUAUGGAAACCAAAACCACUUUAUAUAUGGCUAUGCAUUGGAAUGGUGUGAUUAUGUGUAGCAUAGAGGCUCUCUCCACGUGUGCACAAGGGGGUGCAAAUCACGGACAGAAAUAGCCUUCGGACCUUGAACUUGAGUGCGGGCCCAACCUGCGCACACGAAUGUCUGACCGAACAGAGCAAAAACUGGUCAGUUUGGACUGUCCGCGUUUUGCAAUUCUUUUUUGUGGUUUUUCCAAAUGACUUUUGAGUGUCGGAAACUCCUAAAACUCCAAUGGUCGAAAUCGAAGUGUAACUCCAAAAACUACAAUGGUUAAUGCAGAAAACUAAUGGUCAGAUUCAAUCUAUAUAAUUCACUCAAUUUCCAGCAGUUCACUCACUGAAUUUUUCGUCUGCAAUUUUCAGCCUGUUUUCUGUUUUGUUCCGUCUCAUUCCAGUAAGGUGAUAUUGUUCGAACACUCGCCCAGUCCGUUGGAGUAGAAUUGGGGUGCUCGAAUUCUGCUGGUUACCGUUGUAUCCUGGGAGACAGGCGCUCGAACUAAACCCUAGCACCACGGUGAGGGGGUGAAUUUGUCUUAAGAAAACUGUGUUUACACAGGCUUUGGGUUGAAAUUAUAUUUGCUAUUUAUUUAGUUUGCAAUUUUACAGAUUUAUUUAUUUAAUUUGCAACAUACUUGAAAUUUAUGUUAAAAAUAGAUAAAUAAAAUAAACUGUUUUCUCUAAUUCGUUAUAUGUGUGAAAAAUAGAUUUCAGAUAUACGGUAUUUCUAUUUAUAAGAAAAAAAAAUUUGAUAUUAUUUAGUUAGUGUAUGAAUAAAAACAUUUUAUGCAAAAUUUUGUGUAAAUACAGUGAGCUUCGCCUGCAAAUACAGUAAGCUGCCAUAUACGGUGAGUAACACUGUCAAAUACGAUGAGUUGCACUGUCAAAUACAGUGAGUUGCAAAUACAAUGAGUAGCAAAUACGGUGAGUUGCACUGCCAUAUACAGUAAGCAAUUGCCAAAUACGGUAAGUGUAAAAUCAGGUAUCUAAAACACAAAUAUGAUAUAUGAGAACCCGAUUCCACUCCAAACACUACCGAUUAAAUAUAACAACAAACUUAAGACAAAUUCUUAAUACGUAUUGAUAGUAAACAAGUUUAUUUAUUUAUUGGAGACUAAUAAUUGUUUCAUUUUCAGAAAUGGCUGCCGAACCAACCAACAUGGAUGUGACCCAAACUGUUCCUGUUGAAAAUGAAGAUGUGGGCUCUACUAUGGCUCAAGGGCCAAGCUCUGCUGUGGCUAACUUGCCUAGUCGUGUUGUGAGUCAAACUGUGGCUCCAACAGCUGGCCAAACGGUUAGUGUUCUGGUUAAUCAUGGAGAGAAAUCGGAGAAAUUCAAUGGCUUGAAUUUCAAGAGAUGGCAGUAGAAAAUGCUAUUUUACCUGACCACAAACUGUUAAGAUGGUGGACUCCAAGACUGUUAUCAGUCAAGUGCAAGAACUCCAAGUGAUUUUUCACGAAAUUCAUGCCGAAAGAAUGGUGUUGAGUGAAACCUUUCAAGUGGCAGCAAUUAUUGAAAAAUUGCCCCCCGCAUAGAAAGAUUUCAAAAACUAUUGAAGCACAAAUGAAAGGAAAUGAAUGUUGAAGAACUUAUUGUUAGACUUCGAUUUGAAGAAGGUAAAAAAAGUUCAGAAAAGAAGUGGUUCAAUCCUGGUGUUGCUAAAACCAAUGUUGUGGAGCAUGGUUAAAGCAGUAAGAGUUACAAAAACAAGUUUGGGCCAUCCAGUGAAAAAAGACCAAGCACGAACCGAAAGGUGGAAUUUCUAAGAAGAAAUUUCAAGGGAAAUGCUUCAAUUGCAGAAAAGUAGACCACAAGUCUUCGGAGUGUAGAAUGCCAAAGAAGAAGAUGAAAGAAGCAAAUAUGGUUGACUACAUGACACAAGAUGUCUCUGAAAUGAAUCUCGCAGCCGUCAUUUCUGAAGUGAACAUGGUGGGUUCAAACCCUAAGGAGUGGUGGAUUGACACCGGUGCUACAAGACAUGUGUGCUCUGAUGAAGAGCUGUUUGCUACGUUCGAAGCAAUUGAGAACAGAGAGAAGUUGUUCAUAGAAAAUUCAGCAACCUCUGAAAUCAAGGGUCAAGGAAAGGUGGUUUUAAAGAUGGCCUCGGGAAAGGAGCUGACUCUCAACAAUGUGCUAUAUGUGCCGAAAAUUCGUAAGAAUUUAUUGUCCGGGUCGCUUUUGAAUAAGCAUGGUUUUCGCAUUGUAUUUGAGUCAGACAAAGCCAUUCUAUCAAAAAGUGGAAUGUUAGUCGAAAAAUGUUAUGUUUCCGACGGUAUGUUUAAGCUGAAUGUAAUGGUUGUGAAACUAAAAAUGAAUAAAGCAAAUUCUUCUGUUUAUUUGCUUGAGUCUUCCAGUUUGUGGCAUGAUAGACUAGGACAUGUUAACUAUGAUACUUUACAUAGACUAGUUAACUCGAAUAACAUACCCAAGUUCCAUAAUGAUUCCAAACAUAGGUGUGAAACUUGUGUUGAGACAAACUUGUGUUGAGACAAACUUGUGUUGGAAAAAUGAUUGAAUUGGCUCACUUUUGGCACAAUUUUCGAUGGGACCCGUUGGUCCAAUUUGGAAUAUCAAGUUGAUAUGUGUUCUCCUCCGCGAGAACAUCGAAAUCAUGUAUUUAUUUACCAAAAAUGAAGCUCGGGUGAAUGAGAAAUUGGAGUCUAAAGUGGACCAUUGGAAAUGGUCUAUGUUGGUAGGAAAACUUUGUCCCAUAUAAGAAAAACAUGGAAACCAAAACCACUUUAUAUAUGGCUAUGCAUUGGAAUGGUGUGAUCAUGUGUAGUAUAGAGGCUCUCUCCACAUGCAUACGCAGGGAGUGCAAAUCACCGACAGAAAUAGCCUUCGAACCUUGAACUUGAGUGCGGGCGCGACCCGUGCACACGAAUGUCGGAUCGAACGAAGUAAAAACUGGCCAGUUUGGACUGUCCGCGUUUUGAAAUUCUUUUUUUUUUUUGUUUUUCCAAAUGACUUUUGAGUGUUUGAAAGUCCUAAAACUCCGAUGGUCGAAAUCGAAGUGUAACUCCAAAAACUGCAAUGGUUAAUGCAGAAAAUUAAUGGUCAGAUUUAGUCUAUAUAAUUCAUUCAAUUUCUAGCAGUUCACUCACUGAAAUUUUCGUCUGCAAUUUCUAGCCCGUUUUCUGUUUUGUUCUGUCUCAUUCUAGUAAGGUGAUAUUGUUCGAACACUCUCCCAAUUCGCCGGAAUAGAAUUGCGGUGCUCGGAUUCUGCUGGUUACCGUUGUAUCCUGGGAGACAGGCCCUCGAACUAAAACUCUAGCAUCACGUUGAGGGGGCGAAUUUGUCUUAAGAAAAUUGUGUUUACACAGGCCUCGAAUUGAAAUUAUAUCUGCUAUUUAUUUAGUUUGCAAUUUUGCAGAUUUAUUUACUUAAUUUGCAACAUACUUAAAAUUUAUGUUAAAAAUAGAUAAAUAAAAUAAAUUGUUUUCUCUAAUUCGUUAUAUGUGUGAAAAAUAGAUUUCACAUAUACGGUUUUUUUAUUUAUGAGAAAAAAGACUUGGCGUUAUUUAGUUAGUGUAUAAAUAAAAACAAUUUAUGCAAAAUUUUGUGCAAAUACGGUGAGCUUUGCCUGCAAAUACAGUAAACUGCCAUAUAUAGUGAGUUACACUGUCAAAUACGGUGAGUCGCAAAUAAUAUUAGUUGUCCUGCCAAAUACGGUGAGUUGCACUGCCAAAUAUAGUCAAUUGCACUGUCAUAUACGGUAAGCAAUUGCCAAAUACGGUAAGUGUGAAUUCGGUGUCUAAAACACAAAUAUGGUAUAUGAGAACCCGAUUCCACUCCAAACACUACCAAUUAAAUAUAAUAACAUAGCUUUCUCUGACAGAGAUUACAGAACCAAGUCACUACUUAGUUAAUGGUUUAUGAUUGAACUCAAUUGAGACAUUUCUCAACGUCAAUCAUUUUCAGUGUCUAAGAAUCGACUGAAGAUUACUCUGUCAUUUUGCAUCGGUAUUAUUGCUUGGAAGUCCAUAUCAUUCCACACAUGAUUAUUAUCAUACAACUCCUUGAAAUGACAAAUCAUGCGUUAGCAUCUAUAUUCUCAAGUUACUUUUGUAACUUAGGCGACAUAGUCACAAGCAUCAUAUGUAUGCAGUACUAUCAUCAUCACCAUGUUUAUUACAAUAGCCACAUCUUCCUUAAUUGAGUCAUCAGUAGGUGUCUCUGAAAAGGGCUACUCAAGGACGAAACUAAUUUUCUCAUGCAUGAGAACAAUUCUCAAAUUGCGGUGCCAAUCAAGAAGAUUUGGUUUGGUUGUUGGCAUCCAGUAUGCCACUCAAAUACAUAUGGUUACUCACGAUUCAAUAAAUAUAAAUGAUAAAAAGAAAAAGAAUAAUAUAUAUAAAAUGCAUCAAUUAAUUUAACAUGGACUUUUAUUAAAUUAUAUAUAUAUAUGGAAUUUUUUUAGAAAUCACACCGUAUCAAAAAAUUGUUAAUGUUUAUGGAUUUGCAUAUCAUAUUCCACAUGUAAUUCAAUUGUUUGACGAUACACAUUUUCACUGAAGUAAACAUACAUUUUGUAUAACUUAUCUCGCAUAUCAACGUUUCAAUCAUGAUUGUGAUCUUUAUGCGAUAAAGUUUGUUGACUAUAUCAUAAACGAAAAAUUGAUCUCAUGGCUCAAACAAUCAAUCCAAUCAUAACUAUAUCACAUCUGGCAUGUCACCUUUUCAAACAUGGAUACGAGAAGUUGAUUAAAGCAUAUGAUAUGGAUUUCGACUUAGUACCACACAGCAUAACGCGAGACACGAAGUUGAAGGGUGUGGUGAUAUCGUAGUAUUGUUUGAACAGAUUUAAAUUAUUUUUGGACAAUUAGUUGAAUGGUAGUCUACAUAUUCAUUUCUGUUUGUUUAACAGUAUUUUAAAUCUUUUGCCAUAUUUUUGACAAUUAGUUGUAGGUAGUCUUUUGGUUUAUGUUCGGGUUAUCUAAUUCAAAUGUUUUGCUGAUGUUUCAUUUUGGUAUGUAAAAAGACAAGAUAUGAUAACAUCUCUUAAUGAAAUGUCAUUAAGUAUCCAUUUUGCUGCAAAUGAAUUCAAUUAUCUUUUUACAUGAAUAUCAGUUCAUGAAAUUAGCAUUAUGUAUUUUAAAGUUAUAGGGGAACAGAUAAGUGAUCAUGCUAUACACAAGUCUGCAUACACUUUUCCCCCCAUAAUACCAUAGUCCAUGUGUGUGAUUUUGUACCCAUCACUAUGUUCAUAACUUGGUUGUGUUAUGAUGCAAUUUCAUUUGAAAAUGCAUGUUUCAGACGUGUAAUGCAUAAGAGGUGAGACGUGCUUCCUUGAGCUUUAGCUCCAUGCAGACCUAGCGGAGACAUUUCAAUAUUAUCAACAUACUCAAUCUUAAGACAUGAUUUCCUCCAAGUAUUUGAAAACAUAUGGAACCAAAAGACCAAACAUUUAUGAUCCGUUCUUCACAAAUACAUUUAACAAGUCUAUUUCUAUCUAGAAGAAAAUAAUAAUAAUAAUAAUAAUAAUAAUAAUAAUAAUAAUAAUAAUAAUAAUAAUAAUAAUAAUAAAGUAAGAAACUACAACAACAUAAAAGAUUCUCUCACUUAUUUAUAUGAUAUAUCAUAGUUUCGUUGAAUCCCAAUUAAAAUAUUAUACAAUGAUAGAUGGUAUAAAUUCGCAUACACAACAAGUAAUAUUCAAAAGAUUUUAUAUGUAAUCGAGAUGUCAUACAUUUUGUGUAAUUCCCACAAUAAAUAUUAAAUAUUGGACCAUGCUAGAUGUACCUAAUUUUUUUUUACCUAAUGCUUUACAUACACUCACAAUAGGAGUGUGGGAACCACAUGUUGAAAUUAUUUUAUUCACGUGGGGGUCCACGUGCUAGUGAGAGUAGAUAAGCCAUUUGAUAAAUCAAAUUAUGUACACUUAGAAUUAUCCUUAAAUAUUAUCCACAUCAAAAAUUCUAAUAUGUAUAACGUAAUAAUCGAAAUGUCAAAAAAUGUUGAAAACUGAAUUACACGGUUGGUAAAAAAGUAUAGAUUUUAUCAAUUUAACACAUCUUGUGAAGAUUGAGUCAAAAGGGUUUAAAAGAAGUAUGAAAUCACCCAGAUAAGAAACCCCACAGAUUUUUAAUACACAUUUAUGUAAUUUUUCUGAGUUUUUCAUGAGAUUAUAAAUUGAACAGAUAAAAACAAUUCCAGAGGUAUAAUUUAACUCACCAUCAAAAUCAAUAUAUGAAAUAUGCUUGAUCGAUGUGGAGGACGAGAAAUAUGUGCAUUCAGCUUUAUAGUGAGAUGGAAAAUAUAUAUAUAUAUAUAUAUAUAUAUAUAUAUAUAACAGUUUAUAGUUCUUGAAAUUUUAUAUUCUAAUGAGGCAUAUACAAAAUUUUCCGCUAAAAGAUCAACAGAACCGGAUAAACUGAUUUUCGAGUCAUCGGUUAGUGGCUUAAACCGAUAAAUUGAAUGAUUUUUUAUAGGAUUUGAAUUAAGUAGGUUUUAAGCAAUAACAAGAUCAGAUUUUUGACCAAUUCAUGAGUUUUUCUGUUGUACCGUCCGGUCCGGUCUGGUCUGGUCUGGUCCGAUCAGAUUUUUAUAACAUUGGUUAAAGGGAAAAGUUCACACUUCAGGUGUAUUCUUUGUAACAAUUCAAAAGUAAGGUAGAAAGUUUAAAAAUUCAAAAUUCAUAUAUAUAUUUAAUUAAUUAAAAAUAUUUAUUAAUUAAAUAUAAUAAAGUCACAGUUAUAGAAUUAAUGGUCACACAUAUACAAUUAUAGGUCACAAUUUAUUUAUUGGUAACAUAUUUUCAAAUUAAUUAGUCACAGAUUAUUAUGAGGUCGCAAAUAAAAAAUUUUAUAAGUCACAUUUUAAUUCUUUGGUCACAGAUCAAAAAAAUUAUAGGUCACAAUUUAUCAAUCAGUCACAUAUUUUUAAAUUUAUUGGUCACAGAUAAUCGAAUUUUAAUGUCACACUUUAAUAGUUGGUCACAUGCACCCAAACACUUGAUCCCGAUCCACCAAUACUUGGUUACAGAUCAACCAAAUAGUUUGUUACAGAACUCUUCGUCCCAUGAUGUUGUUGCCUCCGCCAUCUCCAUCGCCAGUCACAACCACCACCUACAAUAACAACAACACAACCUAUAGAGCCUCCACCGAUAAAGAAUGACUACCCAAUUGCCUGCAGUAACACCACCAUCCUAAACCUCCAACGAUGCUCACACAGAAAGAAUGACUGCCCACGAUCUAUAGAGCCUCCAGUGAUCCGAGCCUCCAACGAUUCAGCUCCCACUACUGCCACAUCCACCAAUAGCCACCGUCUCCAUCUCACUACAAAACACAACCCUCACCAAAAAUGUCCCCAAAUCCACCGUUGGCACUAUUAACAAUCAUCGACCACCACAACAAUCAACACAAGAAAAUUGAUGAAAUAGAGCUCCUCACCACAUAGCUUCACCUCAAUACACCAAUCUGAAGCGCAUCAUGUCGAACAAAGGCAGUAAUUUUGCGUGUGGUGAAGAAAAGGACGACAGUGGCGUAAGAGAUGGUUCUGUGCAUCUCGUCAAUCAACGUCGCACAGAUCGACAGCGGUGCGGUGAAGAGAGAUUGGCGAUGGUACGGCAAAGAGAGACGAGGAAUGGCAAAGAAAAAUGACUGGAGACGGCAGGGGCAGCGGGGCUUGGAGUCGCCGUCGCCGUUGUGAAGGAGAAGAUGGGGUAGGUCUCCGGUGGGGGGGGGGGUAACAGAGGGAGAAUAUGGGGAGAGAGAGAGAGAGAGAGAGAGAGAGAGAGAGAGGGAGAGAGGAAAUGGUUAGGGUUGGAAUUGGGGAAGAUAUUUAAUUAUCUUAUUCAUCCCGGAUUUGUGAAUAACAAAACUUGAUAUCAGAUUUUUGAAUUGAGAAGUUCAAAAAUCUGUUUCCAUGUAAUUUUUCCUUGGUUAAAUCAACCAACGAAUAAACCAUGUGAGCCGCUAUUUACAUCAACGAUUAUUAUAUAUUCAUUCUACUCUAUAUCUAUCCCCAUUAAAAUAUUAAAAUUUUAUAAAAUUAGUAUUUUCAUCUACGUCACAUUUUAAUAUUGUCCUUAUUAGAAUUCAUUCAUUUAAACAUUAUAGAUCUAUACAAAUCUUGUAUAUUCAUCCACUCUAAAAACAUCCCCAAUACAAUUUCAAAAUUUUGGAAAAUCAUUAUAUUCAUCAAUAUUACAUAUAACAUCAAGAUGGUAUUCUCGUGUGUCGUUCAUUUGAACUUUCGAUUUAGAACAUAUAAUUUAAAAAAAAUUGAGAUCUAAUUAGCAGUCGAUUUGAAAUAAGAGAAAUGUUCAUGCAUUUUGUACGUUUUCUUUUUGUGGAUGCAGUAAAGGGUUAAUUUAGUUUAUAUUUUAAUUUCAUAGAUGGAUCAACCAGUAAGGCUGGCAAAUGCAUGGCUAAUAAUAUAUUAUUAAUCACUUAAAUAUAUUAUCAGGCAUUGUAAAGUUGAAUUAUUGAGGCAUGUGAAUUAUUUAUCAGGUUUUUAACUUUGCAAUUUUUUUUUUCAAUUAAUUAUAACAGAAACGGAAUGGUAUUAGAUAUACCAACAUUGCGAAAUAAAGAUAUUUUAUUUCAUUACGACAAAGGCUCACCACAAUAAUGAAAUAAAUGAUCUCGUAAGAGAAUCACAUCCAAUUUGUGUUCGUGCAUGUUGUUGUACGAAGGAAACAGUGCGAUAUGGACCAUUUAAACUUUUUAUAAAUUUGUUUACAUCAUAAAUAUCUGAAAAAUCAAUUUUCCCCACUUUGAUUCAUCUUACAUUAGGAAGAACAUGUGGUGCUUUAAUAAAUCGGUAUUUCAGUUUUCCUUCUCCGCACAUCUUCCUAUCAUUUAAGAGCUCUUUUUUUUUUUUUUUAGCCCCUCCGGGGUGACCGAGUUGGUGUAGUAGGUGAGCGCAGAGGCCUUUUGUCACGAGUUCGAUUCUUCCUACAAACACUUAUUUGUGAAUAACAAAACUUGAUAUCAGAUUUUUGAAUUGAGAAGUUCAAAAAUUUGUUUCCAUGUAAUUUUUCCUUUGUUAAAUCGACCAACGAAUAAAACAUGUGAGCAGCUAUUUACAUCAACGAUUAUUAUAUAUUCAUUCUACUCUAUAUCUAUCCCCAUUAAAAUAUUAAAAUUUUAUAAAAUUAGUAUUUUCAUCUACGUCACAUUUUAAUAUUGUCCUUAUUAGAAUUCAUUCAUUUAAACAUUAUAGAUCUAUACAAAUCUUGUAUAUUCAUCCACUCUAAAUACAUCCCCAAUACAAUUUCAAAAUUUUGGAAAAUCAUUAUAUUCAUCAAUAUUACAUAUAACAUCAAUAUGGUAUUCUCGUGUGUCGUUCAUUUGAACUUUCGAUUUAGAACAUCUAAUUUAAAAAAAUUGAGAUCUAAUUAGCAGUCGAUUUGAAAUAAGAGAAAUGUUCAUGCAUUUUGUACGUUUUCUUUUUGUGGAUGCAGUAAAGGGUUAAUUUAGUUUAUAUUUUAAUUUCAUAGAUGGAUCAACCAGUAAGGCUGGCAAAUGCAUGGCUAAUAAUAUAUUAUUAAUCACUUAAAUAUAUUAUCAGGCAUUGUAAAGUUGAAUUAUUGAGGCAUGUGAAUUAUUUAUCAGGUUUUUAACUUUGCAAUUUUUUUUUUCAAUUAAUUAUAACAGAAACGGAAUGGUAUUAGAUAUACCAACAUUGCGAAAUAAAGAUAUUUUAUUUCAUUACGACAAAGGCUCACCACAAUAAUGAAAUAAAUGAUCUCGUAAGAGAAUCACAUCCAAUUUGUGUUCGUGCAUGUUGUUGUACGAAGGAAACAGUGCGAUAUGGACCAUUUAAACUUUUUAUAAAUUUGUUUACAUCAUAAAUAUCUGAAAAAUCAAUUUUCCCCACUUUGAUUCAUCUUACAUUAGGAAGAACAUGUGGUGCUUUAAUAAAUCGGUAUUUCAGUUUUCCUUCUCCGCACAUCUUCCUAUCAUUUAAGAGCUCUUUUUUUUUUUUUUUAGCCCCUCCGGGGUGACCGAGUUGGUGUAGUAGGUGAGCGCAGAGGCCUUUUGUCACGAGUUCGAUUCUUCCUACAAACACUUUUUCGAUCGAGCCUGUCGCACUUGACUUGCCUAGUACGGUUUACCUGGUUGGCGUGGUUUGCAGGCUAUUACGUCAGCUUGAAGGUUUGCCUAGUGGCACCCGAAGGGUAGCGGCCGGAGGCUCCCCGUCAUUAAAGAGCUUUUUUUUUUUUUUUUUUAGCCCCUCCGGGGUGACCGAGUUGGUGUAGUAGGUGAGCGCAGAGGCCUUUUGUCACGAGUUCGAUUCUUCCUACAAACACUUUUUCGAUCGAGCCUGUCGCACUUGACUUGCCUAGUACGGUUUACCUGGUUGGCGUGGUUUGCAGGCUAUUACGUCAGCUUGAAGGUUUGCCUAGUGGCACCCGAAGGGUAGCGGCCGGAGGCUCCCCGUCAUUAAAAAAAGAAAAAAGAAAAAGAGCUUUCUGCUUUUAGUCUUGAUUUUAGUUGAAGAUGAUAUUUUAUAAUUAUUAGGGUACAUUUGAUUGCAAAAUGAAAUUUAUAUGGAAAGAAAAUAAAUUAUAAGUAAUUUAAUUAUUUAGAACUUAUUUGCAUAGAAAUUGUCAAUUAAAUGUGUUUGAUUGAUUUAAUUUUUAACCUAAAAAAUAUUAUACUUGUCCGAUUUUUUUUUUUUGGUAGAUGAUAGAGAGUGGAUAGAUGAGAGAGUGUGAAUUCUCUAGAAAAUAAAAUUCUACUCCCUCUAAAGAAAAUAUUUUUCUUAAUUUUGAAGAAAAUAUGGUCACGUGAACAAAAGUAGGAAAAUAUUUUUCAUGGAAAAAAUAUCUUUCAAACAGCAUAAAAAUAAGAUUUUGGCUGGAAAAAAUACAUUUUUCAUGAAAAAUAUUGGCAAUCUAACAAACCCUAUAGUUUUAGUCAAACACAAAUUUUAAAAGAAUAUAAAAAGAUCCAAGAGAAUUUAAUGAAAAUAAAUAUUUGUGAAUGGAAUUAGAGUGAUAUAUUUUUAUUUUAAAUAAAGUUACAUAAGAUUAAAAAUAUAAUACAAUUAUCCUUUUAAAAGUGGAUGUACAUAUAAAAACGUGGAUGUAAAUAACGUCUUCCACAAAACUAUAACAUAUUUAUGACUUAACUGAAAUGACUUUAUAUUGGGCAACCAUUUAAUUCAAAAAGUAAAAUUUAAUAAUUAAAGUGACAUGUUUUGAAGGUUUGGCAACAAGCCCAGUUUUUUGCCGAAUUAGCUUUUGUUUGGCAAAAUUUAUAUAUUAUUUUAAAUAAUCAAACUUCAUUUUUAAUAUAACAUUUUAAUGGACUUAUUAUCCUCUUAUCCAAGAUAUAAAUUAAAAUCAAUUACUGUUAAUCUAUUAUCAUAAACUCUUAUAAUAAAAAAAGGGUGCUGCUAUUUUUAUUCACUAGUCUUAUAUAUUUAGAGGGCCGAUAUUUCCAUCCAAAAAAAAAAAAAAAAGGAGUACAUUCACACAAGCAUUAAUAAGUGAUAAUGAGCUAUUCCAUAAAGAAAUUAUCAUCAAGUCCAAUAUGAAUUGCUUUGAACUACUUAUCAUCAACAAAAAGGAAUGCAUUCACACUCGCAGAAUGUGGAAUUGUAUGUAAAUGUGACGGAUUCGUAAUUUGAUCUUAAGCAUAUAUUUUACGAGUAGGACCUAUACUUCACACGGACAAUUUAUUUCAUUUGAUCGUUUAUUGAUAAUAUUGUUCCUUUCUUUAAUGAAUAUGAGAUCGCGUAGAUGUAAUACAUUGGUUUAGAUAGAUAUAUGAUGUGAUACGUUUAAGCAUUAUUUAUAAUAUUACCAUUUCAAAUGGAAAGAGAUACAUAGAUAUGUGUGAAUGAAUGAAUUGAGAGAGGGCGGCUUACAAUUUUGAAUGGUAUUCAAAUAGGAUUUCACACGAUCAAUUAUAAGGAAAAACAGAAAUACAACCAAACUACUUUCUCACAAAUUUAUUUAGCCGAAAGGAUAUAUUGCUUUAGAUAGAUAUAUUAUGCGAUACAUUCAGGCAUGAUGUAAUGAUAUUAUUAAUCCAUUAGAAUCCUGAAGAUAAGUUUGCUUUCCAUUUAUUUUUUUAUUUUUUCAGUUGUCCCAAAUUAUGUUAUUUUCCUCGUUGAGAGUAUAGCUAAUUUUUUAGUUUUCAAGUAUAUACUUAUUCAUUGUGUCUUAUCAUCAAUAAAUAUGAAUUACUCUUAUUUAAACUAUUAUUUAAUUUAUGGGCAUAUUAGAGAAAUAUAAUUAAAAUUUAUAUUUCCAACUAUGUUAAUUACAUUUUCUUAAUCUGUUUGAAAAAUGAAAGCAAAUCUAUCUUUAUGGGAUGAAGAGAAUGUUUGAUAUUGAAAAGAGAUGCAUAGAUUUGGGUAAAUGCAUGAAUGGGAGACGGAUGCUUACAAGCCUGGCUGGUAUCAAAGAAUUCCGUUAAAAGAAAUUUAUCAAUAAGGGUAUGUUUGAUUGGCAAAUCUUUUCCAUGUUCCAUUUUCCCAUUUUCAAGUGUUUAAUAUGGUUUUUUUUUUUUUUUUUGCCAUGGAAUUCAAGUUCCAUGUUUUCUUGGACUUCGAACUUUUCUAGCUUUUUAGGAAAAAAUCAAUUCCCAGCAUAUUCUUGGUUACUGUAGCGCAUACAUAUUUUUUUCCCUUUUUUUUUUUGGUUGGCAAAGUUAACAAAUUCUAAGAAUUAUUGUAAAAAAAAUAUUUCCCUUUAAUUGACAAUUUUCAUAUAAAACAAAGUCAAAUGAAUAUCAAAAGAUAAAUGUUUUUCUUGAUUUUUUUUUUUUUAGCAAUGGAAACAAAUUUCAUCUCCAACACCAGUAAAUUAUAUUCCUUUAAUUGACAAUUUUUAUGUAAAAUAAAGUCAAACGAACAUCAAAAAACACUUUUAUUUCAACAUUUUCCACUUGAAAAUUUAUACCAAUAAAACACAAUAAUUUACAAUUCUCAGGAAAAUAAUUUCUAGACAAUUCAAUUCCCUAAAAUUCGUUUUCAAUUCAAUUCAAUUACAUCUUUGCAAUCAAACGGAUCCUAAGUAUCAUUAUAAAUAAUAAAAAGAUUUAAUGAAGCACAAUCAAUAAUUAUCGGCAACAUGAAUGACGACAUUGUCUUUAAUAAUCACUGGUGAAUGUAUGACAGUGGUCUGUAUAGCUCUGUCUAAAUCACCAUAAUCAUUAAUAAUCACACUACAUAUUAGGUGACAAUUUCACAGAUUAAUUGAUAUAUUAUCUUAAGUGGAUAUGAGUCUCAUUUUGAUGUUGUAUCAAACUCUAUAUAGGGUAAAGUCUCAUUCUUUAAUGACAUUUGUAAACCCGUCCUCAACCUAAUUCUAAGAAUUAUUGUCAUUCAUCUGAUAGUCAAAUCUUUAAAUUAGCAUAUUUAAAAAUUAAAAUUGACCUUAUGCAUACAUCCUCUGCUGUCAAUCAUCCUUAAAUAAAGCAUCUGAAUAGAAUUUUAGGCCUCUCUCCAUCAUAGGUGAUUUAUCCAUUGGUCUUGAUGUCAUAUAUCCAAGAUAACGGGAUCUCUAAUAGGUAUUAAGAGCAUUUCCAAUUGUGUUAUAAAAUAUGGCUAAAUUGUGAUUUAGAUCUCCAAACUAGUUGUAAACCUCUUCGAUGGAGAGAUGUAAAGGAAAUGCAAAUUGUAUUUUUUGACAGAAAAUAUAAAAUUCAAAAGAGAAAAAAAAAGAAGUGAAUUUGGAUCUUCUCAUUGGAGCAAAAUUUGAAUUUGGAUCCAUUAGAUUGUAAAUAAGAAUGCAAAAAUGAUCUAGGAAAUAUCAAAUUUCACCCAAUUUUACACUAUCAUUGAAGAUGCUCUAACUAUAGAAUUUGUACUAUUUUUUAGACUUGUUGGGUUUGUGAUCUCAAAAAGCGAGAAGCAUUACUUUGAAAGUAAGAACAUAUUAUAAAUAUUUAUGACCAAUUUUAUAAAUAUGAAAACUCAUGGAGAAUUUGUAAAAAUGUGUAAUAUUAGUAUGUAAUUUAAAAUGUAUUUCGUCGUAAAGUUGUGUUUCCACAAAAUUCAAGCCUUGACACUAGUAGCAUUGCUCAAUCUCCAAACCUGUGAAAACCCAUCUGACCCAUCCUACCUUCCACAAGUAACCCAUUUCAUUGUUUUCUUCGAAUAACGACCUUUCAACUUGAAGGUGCAUACUGACGACAACUGAAUUCUGACAAAAACACUGACACAACAAUAACCAUUUUUGAUAACCUCAAGAAGUUUCCUUUUUACUUUGUAAAUUCCAUCCAACGUACAUGUUUGAGCCUAUAAUGCCUUAAUUUGCAAUAAGUAAAUGGCUGACAAUAUACAAUCUCAUAUCUUCGUAGUGGUAGAAUCGGUUCAAGCCCAAUUAUGAGGAUAAUCAAGUGGUGUUUGAAGAAGUUCCGUUGCUACGUUGUUUUCUCAAAGGAAGCAUUGUUUAUAUUUGGUAAAAUAAGAAUAAUUAUGCUGAUUUUGAUUAUUUCCUUACUUCUAACACUUGGCUUAAAUUUCUGUAGGCCUCAUAUUUGUCCACAGUGUCGUAGAGAAUGCACUGAUAGAUAUAAUGAUCACUCAUCUCCCAGGUGUAUGGGACCUUACAAAAUCGGCUAAAGCUAUUAACUUACAAGAAGGAACCGCGGCAGUUCUGCAAAUUUUAUUUGCUUUUGCAUCGGAUGCCUAUCUGGGCCGCUUCAAAAUGGUGGUUUACUCCACCAUAUCUUACAUCAUUGUGAGUUUU
rnacentral:lncRNA from 1 species